GGGACAAUAAUGAGGGGAUCGUGAGAAAAACAUGAUGCAAAAUAUGUAGGUAUGCAGUCGUCCUCUGCUCUUUUCUCUUCUAUUAUAAUUAUCAUUAGUUCAUGAAUUUUAUGAUACUUUGAAUUUUUCAUCACAAAUGAUUAUAGCUAAAAUGAUUUACAAUUGCCAUGUGAAUGGAGUGAUACAUCAAACUAGUAUAACACGCAGAAAACUCUGAACCCUAAAAAUAAUAUCUACCUAAUUUAUAUUUUAUAAAAGCUCCAAGUUUACCAUAAAAAAUUAUAUUAACUAAGGCGGUGGGCUUUUUAUGCUUUUAUAUUGGCCCAAAACUCAUGGGCACCGUAGCCAGAGGAGCCAGCCCAAUCCAUAUAGGGAACAAUUUUGUAAUUGCAGGUUGCAGUGAUUUGUUCUUCUGGCUUGGGGAGGAAGCGUACAGACAGCAGAGGGAGAAGAUGAUACACCGAAAAUGGAGUCUACUAACUGGUCCAGUGGCAAUCUUGGGCGGGAUCGUUGCAACGGUGGUCGUCGCCAACUUAAUCUUCGUUAAGGAUGUAAAGUUCUCUUCUCUUUUCCUUCGAUUUCCAAACCCUAGAUUUUAUAUUUGAGUUUUGGUAUCGGGGGAAUCGAAGGAUGUAUUUUCAUUUAAGAUUUCGAUUGAAAUUAUUCAUUGGAAUGAUUUGCAUUCGGUUUUAUUCGUCAUUCUUAUAUCUAAAUCGUAGGAGACAUCUAAACCUUUUGGCUAUUCGAUCGUGUCUCUGAUCGUAAUCGUAAAAAUUAGAUUUGUUUAACUUAGUUGUGAAUUAAGAAUAACACUUUUUGAAUGAUUGUGGGAGCUAUCAUUCUUUGUUAAAAUAAAGAGCGUCGCUCUCUGUUUAACUUCUGUUCAAAAAAUAUUAAAUGGAAAAACCUGUUCUGUCAUUCUUUAGAUGUUGUUAAUUAUUAGCUAGGUAGUUGAGUUUCUUUGCUGCAAUGAAAGCGCCAGUAGAGCCAGUAAGCAACGUGCACACCUGCUACACAUUUUUUACUUGAACUAAUUUCUUUAGCUGGAUUAUUUCAUAAACUGCUAGUUAUUCAAACCAAAGCUUUUUAUGCAGGGCGUAACCAUACACAUGCUAACACAUUGCGAUAUAUUUGAAAUUUGCAGGACCCAUUUCUUAAACCAAAGAAAAAGAACCAAGAUUCACCACCAUCAACCAAAUAGAACAGAAGCAAAGUGAAUUGCUUAAUGGAUGUGUUGUAAGCUUUUCAGGUGGUUUGUGUUUGUUGAUUAUUUUUCUAGCGAAACAAAUGUUUAAGCUGCAUUUUGGUACAAGGCUCUUCUUAGUUCAAUAAAGUGGAGUUCAUGAUCAAGUUUAGUAAUUUCUCUUCAUUAUGUUCACCAAAUUGCUGUUGUUAAAUCUUGAUUGAGCUACCAUGAGAGCAAGAAAAAGCAAAAUUCAGCUGUUUUUCCUUGUUCAGUAAUGAUAAUUUUUGGGGUAGAUUGCCGAGUAGGAAUACUAUGAAUUUCUGCGUCGUGUUAGCGUAUAUCCACUUUUAAUUCAUCAAGAAUGGUUAUUAAUAAUUGAUAUGGUAAAUUUUAUUCUCUUAAAAAGAAAAAUCUUAGUAUCUUCUGGGUAUAUGAUUCACUGGUAAACGUUAUUAUUAUUAUUAUGAUUGCCUUUCAAUCCUGAGAAAGACUCCAACCCCCCUUUUCAUAGGCUGGAUGUAGCUAUUUCCACUACUCCAUGAUAAGCUUGCGUUUGAAUUAACCUUCACUGCGACAGGUGAUGAGUUGUGACUACGGUUAGGUGUGAAAAAAUAUCUUUCAUUUGACCAUCAAUGCAUGUGAUUUACAUAAAGUUAACACGUAAUUUUUCUGUAUGUUUCAGGGGAAAAUAAUCUAAGGAGUAAUUUUUCCUGAAGAAAAAGGGAAAGAGGUAAAAAUAUGAUGUAUAAACAAUGGUACAAUGAAAUAAUAUGCCCCAAAGAAUCACAAUCUCUCCCUUCACAUAUGCGAACUGCCUGGUGAGACAUUGGCAGAUUGGUGACACUAGCAGCAACGCUCAUGUGAUCCGCAUCUUAUUCAGCAAAGCUUCCCAAUUUUUCACGAAUUAACCAGGACGAAUCAAUAUCGUCUGUCAUCGACGUAAUCUGCUGUUGACUAACAUUUCCAUUACCAAAUCAUUCCAAGAGUCUAUUGGCCCUGGCAAGCACCAGUGUAAGCAAUCAUUCUGAACUUUUGCAUUCUUAUCCUUUGAAAAUGGCUGAAACUGCCUGUACGGUCCAGGAUGCCCAUCUGGUCUCAACAACGAUAGCCGAGUUGUAUCAAGCAGUUUCAAAGUCGCCCCAUUUUCAGAUCCUAAUGCAGCAGCUGUCUCAAAUUCUUCCAGUUCAAUGCUACGCAUUGUUUCAUCUACAUCUCCCAUAUCAAUCUCACCUUCUUUGAAGGGCACUGUUCUGUUGCAAGUUCCUCCACUAAACCAUUCUCCAUUCUCAAAGUGAUCAGGAGUGGUGGUUCUAAAGAAAACAAAAGCCCUAAGGUCAGGUCUUGCAAUGAAGUCAAACAUCAACUUUACAGCUUUUCGGUAUGCAUAGUGGAAUCCUAGCUCUGUCAAGUUCUUUCCAGGGCAGUAAUGGCAGCCUAUAACUGUGUUGUUCUCAAGAUAAAUUGCAGUUUUGAGAAACCAUUUUCCACCUGCAAUUACAACAUAAUCAAAGUUCCUGAAUUGAUCAGUCCAUUUAUUAUCAAGCACAUCCAGAUGAAGCUGCAUAACUGAAGUUGAAACUCCAUUCAUAUCUUCAAAUAUAUCUGCCUUGAUGAGUAAUGGGGUCCAGAUGACUGAAAGAGUGAAGUUAUGAGCUGGAAAGUGCCAUAUCUUGGAUCUAUAUUCCUUGUCGUGAUACACCUCAUCAGCUUGUUCCACCUAUGGCACAUAAUAACCAAGACAACUGAUCAAUUGCUGUCCAUGGGACCAAAAUUUUCUAACGUUGUAGAUAAAACAGAAACAGUUGCAGACAGCUAGAUCAAGUACUGUGGCAUUCUGAUAGGACAGAGCAUCAGAUUUUCAUUGAAUAAGCAAGCAAUGGGGCCUAAAACGUUUCCUUAUUCCUUCCACAGCAUAUCAGGUUUCUGUACGGGACCCAAAACCUAUCGUCUUUUUUCAAUGAUGUAAAUUGAAAUAUUUCUCCAAAACAAUACAUUAUUUUAUGGUUAUACAUCCAUAUAAUAGCAUAAGGAUUCUAAAUUUACUAGUUAACGUGGGUAUAAAUAAUCAAAUGCUAUAGCCAAUGAGGAUUACAGUUCUUGAGAAGACAUAAAGAUCAAAAUUAGCAUUAAAAUAUUUUCAAUGUCUGGUAGGUAAACCAGCUUGGAAAGAGACACAAGAACCUCCUAAAAGCAGUACCCUAACCAUAAAAGCACCAG
rnacentral:lncRNA from 1 species